rnacentral:rRNA from 1 species
CGCGUAGGUGGUUUGCUAAGUUGGAUGUGAAAACUCUGGGCUUAACCCAGAGCCUGCAUUCAAAACUGACAAGCUCGAGUUCUGGAGGGGGAAGCGGAAUUCCUGGUGUAGCGGUGAAAUGCGUAGAUAUCAGGAGGAACACCGGUGGCGAAGGCGGCUUCCUGGACAGAAACUGACACUGAGGCGCGAAAGCUAGGGGAGCAAACA